GUGUGUGUGUGUGUGUGUGUGUGUGUGUGUGUGUGUGUGUGUGUGUGUGUGUGUGUGUGUGUGUGUGUGUGUGUGUGUGCAGUACGUGGUGACGCCUGGUAUCAGAUGAGGCUGCUUGUUUCUCUCAGCAGCCCUCUGUGUGUGCACAGGAAACCAUUAACAAGGAGGGGAUAUCCUGGACAAUAGCAGCCCGACUGGCCCCAUGUGCUUCGUGGGAACUAGAGGAGGAGGAGGAAAGAAGGAGGGAAGGUUGGAAGAGGAUGAAGAAGGAAAAGAAGGAUGGAGCAUAGAGUGGGAUACGGAGGGAAAGGGGCAAGAAAGAAACGGUACAGGGGGAUCAAAGGAGAGAGAAGAAGAGAGGGACUGAAAAACUGUGAGAAAGGAAGUGUGCAGACAGUUUUGUCCCUUUGCCAUCUUUUCAGCUCGCACCAGCUGCACCCUCUGUUCUCAGCUCCAGCAUGCCGUCACCUCUUCUGCUGAACCAAAAGUUUACUCACUUGGCAAAAUAGCCAUUGCUCUUUCAUCUGUUUUUUUCUGAAAUGUACACUCUCUAUUUCCCCUUUUAUCUCUCUCGUCAUUUUCCUUAACCUUUUUCUUUUAUUGCUGAGGAUGAUGCUGAGCCAGGUAAUGGCAAUAUAAGCUUCACUGCAGCCAAAACCACAAGACCAAUGAGUGGCUCAGUUGAGAUAACUUGUCUUUUGUCUCCCCUAGCUGGUCAUAAAUGGUACUCCAUCAACUGAGAUCUUGGAACAGGGAGAGAACAUGUCAGAACUUGAGUUCACCUGAGUUGAAGUCUUGUGGAUUGCAGCCCUGACUGAUACUAUUAAUUGCCUGCUGUGUUUGUGCUGUGAUAUGUGAAAUUGAAACGUUUUAUUUUUAAAUUUAAAGAUGUGAAUGGACCAAAUUAAUAAAUGAUUAAUUGUAAACAGGUUAAUAUACAAUGGAAGAC